rnacentral:rRNA from 2 species
CCGCAGAGUCGACCCGGGGAAUUCAGCCCGGCCGCAAGCGGCGCUCGCAAAGUUCGGAUCCGCAAGGACCGGGCCAGCGGGACGUCCCAGUGGCAGGGUGCACUUUCUCCGCGGUCGAGUGCUACGACCGGUUUCGAGGCGGUCAGAAGCCCGGCGGAAAGGUAGCGCCGCCCUUCGGGGUGUCGUGUUAUAGGCCGCCGCGGUGGACUCGCCGCGAGACCGAGGACGCUUGCCGCGCCGAGCGGUCCCGGGCCGUCUUGGGAGGUUCGACCUCGGCUGCACUGCUCCGCAGAGCACCGUAACCGCCGCCCUAGCACGGGUCCGGAGACUGCCGGCGCCUCGGGUCAGUAGCGAAUCGGUCGGU